AAUGUUCACCCAGAAAAGCAACAGUAGAAAUCCUACUGAGAGAACUUUCUACUUGAAAGCUACCUAGGAGGCUCUGCAUUUCAUCAUCAUCCCUCUUUUUAGUGUGAACAGUCGAGUUCUUAGACAUUAGACAUCCAAAGCUUAGUUUUUAAGGCCUUUUGUAGAAACGAAGUUUUUUAUGAUUCCUCAGUAACUAGACGAACGUCUCUUUACUUUGUGUUCCCUUUCCCCCAUUGCACUGAUUUUCAGUUUUU
rnacentral:lncRNA from 1 species